ensembl:lncRNA
AGGACGACCACAUGUGCAGAACAUCCCACAAGGCACAUGGCUGACAAGCAUCCACAGCACCUACCGGAGCUGUGAAAAUGUUCCUGUGAUAGGUCAGACUCAAGUGUUAGAAUGAGUAGGACAGAGCUGCCUCUCCUAGUCAAGACAUGUUACUGGGUCAAUGUGGAAUCAGGCUUUCAGACAAUCAAUAGAUCCACAACGCCAAUCAGAAAUCUUUCAGAGCAAAGUCCUUCAGGAAAACAAUGGGAAUCAGAGGACGUGUGAUUCAGUAAAACCUGCCUCAAGCUCUGGGUUUUAUUGACAGGACACAUCAAUAGCUGCCUUGAUUGACAAAUGAAGUCAUCAGUACUGUGAGCUGAAACAGGAGAGUUCAUGAUGAUGCUUUCUGCACGAUGACCUCUGAUGGAAGAAGACGGAGCACACAGCCCUGCAUUCCUGAGCUGCGUACCGCUAACUCAAUCAUUUCUGUAUAUUUUUAUGUAUUUGAUUGUAAAAGCAUUAUUAAGUUUAAAAAGAUCCCUAUAUUUUCAUAAUAAAAGUUGAGAUUGAAUAAGUGCUGUGGGUGAAGGGUGAGUUAUGAAACGCUUGUGUUACAAUAAUGCUGCACUGUCGCCCCCUUGUGGCUCAAAAAUGUACAGAAUCAUCAGAACUAACUUCAUAUAUGUAUUUUUUCAACCUGAUUACUUAACUUGUAUCUUUUAUGUAACUGAUGCCUGAGUUUGUCCUGCAAAUUUUUUUUCUCAUUUAACAUCUUACUCUGAGUGAUGGACUUGAGAGAAUGCUUCUACCAAAGUUAAAACAGCUUAGGUUGUUUAACAUUAGAGAAUUCUGCCUUUCUUUUUGUUCUUCUUGCCAGUUUUAAGUAAAACAUUACUUUGCUGGAAACAGGUAAUAUUUUGCAUUACCAUAACUUAGAAUUUGAACUAUCUGGUGAGACAUUUUCAUUUGAUUACUCAAAUCCAAAAUGAUCAGACCGAAUCAGCACACUGUAAAUAUAUAUAUAUAUUUAUUUUAUUUUAUUUUAUUUUAUUUUAUUUAUUUUUUUUUAAACUUUGUUGUUGCAUCUUUACUCAUGCAGAUUGAUAAUACAAAGAGAUACUGAAAAUUUUAAGCCACUUCGGAAGGGCUUCAAAGUAAGGUUUAAAAAAAGUCAACCUUGACGCUGAUA